rnacentral:SRP_RNA from 1 species
GCCAGGCGUGGUGGCUCAUGCCUGUAAUCCCAGCACUUUGGGAGGCCGAGGUGGGCGGAUCACCUGAGGUCAGGAGUUCAAGACCAGCCUGACCAACACGGUGAAAGCCCAUCUCUA